UGUCUUGAUUAUCCUAGUAUAUUAUGCGCUCAUCCUAAUGCUUAGUAUGGUGCGUGGCAUAAGUAAGUUACAAUAAAUAUUCGUUGAGGGGAUGAAUGGAUGGGGUAGAGAUCGACAUAGAAAGAUGAAUUAUGGAAUAACAUUAAUUCAUCCAUCCCAUAUUUAUCAAGGUAUUCUUUGCUAGUGGCUGAGGAUACAGUGCUAAAGAAAAGAGAUAUUCCCUGCCACCAUGGCGCCUCCAGGUAAGGGGGCCAUCGUUUAGCAAAUGACGUCAAAUGCGGUGAAUGCUAUAGGAGAAAAGACGCAGGUGGCUAAGGCAAUGUACAACAAGGGAAGCUCUUCUAGACCAUGGAGUGUGGAAGACUUCUCUGAGACCCACAUUCUGAGCAGUUUGGUGAGGAAGGAGGUGGGCUAAGAGAAGGCUACUCCAGGUAAAAGGAAUAGCAUGUGUAGGGCAGCAGGAUAAGACACCAUGGAUGUACCCCAAGGACCAAAAAGUGGCCAGGAUUCCAGCUUCUGACAGGGUUCCAGGGUGGAGAAAGCAAUGUCAUGAAGUCAUAGAGGCCAUCAGUCACCAAGUUCUGAAGGAAGCCAUGAAAAGAACUUUAGAUUUUACCCAGAGUAUUAAAAAGCCAUUGAAGAGGCUUGUGAUCAGAUCUGAGUUUUCCGCAGACCUCUUUGGCCUUUGUGUGGCUUGUGGACACCAAAGGGAGUGACGUGCAGGGUGAUGAGUUGGCGGGUAGCUGCAGUUGCCCAGAACUUCUGCUGCUGGAAACAGAUGAGGACUCUCCACUCCAUGUGGAACUUGCUUUGUGACAGUCGCUAAUCCUGCUUGGCUCAGCAGUUUGGAAUGGCGGAUCCCAUAGAGAGCGUUCUUCAGCAAGGAGCGAAAAGCGACGUGUGAAUGUAUAGAAAAUACUCUCAAGGUAGUGUCUUAGCCUUUGGAAAUGCUUCAAAUUGUUACCUGGGAGACCUUAACUACAGGGAAUCCUUCAGAAGCGUUCUGUCCUCAGCCGUGACACUGCCAAAGGGAAGAAAUGAGGUCUAAAGAAAAAUGCAGACACCCUUAGAACCACGUACGACCUGUUCAUUAAAAGUGAAUGUAAGAGUUAGCACAAGUUGAUCCGGAAAAGUUCAUUUUUAUCUCUGCCUCCAAUAACUGCUUCAGAUGAGUGUCCUGAACGGGUGCAGCUCAAUGUAAUGCAUCCUGUCGCAGACUGCUUUUGAUACAGAAUUGUGUUAAGCAUUUUGAUGAGGAUCGUACACACCCAAGCGCCAAACCCGGCUCUGUUUCGAGAUUCCAAAUUUCUGAAGGAGACGGGGGGAUAAAUGCAGAAUUCUGCCAUUA